UUUCUGUGGCAGCCCAAACUUAAUUCAGAAUGAGGGACCUUGAACAUCAGGCUUCCAGCGAUUUGACCAAAAACCUCAGUCAACCACCAACCUUAGCCAUCGAUACUAUUGAUCUCUCCAACCGGGCAAGUCACAUUCACUCUCUUUGUUACAGCUCCUUGCUCUAUACCCUGAUGCUACAGUAUGUGAAAUGACUAGUGCAGGGACCUCUUCCUUCUCUCUGGCUCGUAUCUUUUAGCAACCCUGAGGUCUGCAACGAGGUCGUAAGAAUUCUGACGAGCAUUUCCCAGAGCUUAACCUUCCAUCCUUACUCCAAGCUGUGCUGUUCCUCUAAUGUGGUGGUGAACAUCUUGUCGAGGCUGCUUCAGGCCCUGUGGCCCUACCAGAUGAAAAGGCCCCUGUGACUGGCCCUGAGUGAUCUGGCUGUCACCAUGGUGAAGGCAGUGGUGGAGAACUUCUAACAGGUCUGAAGGCCCUUCCUGCACCUCAGGUCUAUUACUCCCGUUCCACUGGUGUCAGGAUGGUCCACUCACUCAACCAUAAGAUCCAGCGCCUAGGCAGCCCAGAGAACCUGAAGAGGACUCUUUUCAUCCAAAGUCUCUCUCUGAUCAGCACCGACAUUGUAGCUGUGACCACUAAAGUCCAGAGACUGUUUGAAGCGCCCACUGAUUAUAUUACAUUCAGCUCUAUUCAUGGUUGGUUAUCAGAGGCCAAAGCAGUGGCCAAUUGGAACGAGGUUCCUCCAAAGUGCCCUGACCAGCUGGUGAUCCCAUCAGAGCUCCUGAGGACCAGCUUUGGUCUGACAACCAUCCUAAUCUAUGGUGGGACACUGGAGAAAGGCAUCAUCAACCUUCAUGACCGGCCCCUCACAGAUGACAUCAUCAACCAGCUUUUGCUGUGUGGGGGGUCAGUUAUGAAGAAGAAGCGGAAAGCCAACUGGCAUCUGGGCUGGGACCAGAUCCUUGAGAUGACAAACAUCCAUACCGACCUUCACUAUGGUGGCACAGAGAAGAUCUUAAAGUUUGCCACAACUUACAGCACCACCAUGCUAACGAGGCACAUGGUUCAUCUUGUGGUUGAAGAAAUUAAGAAGGCCAAGGACUCUUCGAACAACAAAAAAGUUGGUAAUGAUGAAUACCAUGGAGGUGAGCUUGGUCAUGUACACUGUAUGUAUGCCCGGCACUGCGCCCUCCACCAGGCUUUGCCCCCGGCACGGGCCGUUCUGAAGCAAAUUUUCGUCCGAUUCCUGGAGAAGCUCUCUCCUCCUGCACCAAACGACAAAGUGUCAACGUCCUUCCCUUUGGCCAAGCAGUUCUGCACGCUGGUUCAGACAGUCAUUGACAGAUCCCACAGUCAUUGACAGAUCCACAGAGCUGGAGAAGUGUACUGACUCUGACAGUAAGAGCUACUGGGAGUACCUGAAGUGUGUCAACUAUCACCCACUGGGCCUCCCGGGUGGCGCAGUGGUCUAGGGCACUGCAUCGCAGUGCUAACUGCGCCACCAGAGUCUCUGGGUUCGCGCCCAGGCUCUGUCGCAGCCGGCCGCGACCGGGAGGUCCGUGGGGCGACGCACAAUUGGCAUAGCGUCGUCCGGGGUAGGGAGGGUUUGGCCGGUAGGGAUAUCCUUGUCUCAUCGCGCUCCAGCGACUCCUGUGGCGGGCCGGGCGCAGUGCGCGCCAACCAAGGGGGCCAGGUACACGGUGUUUCCUCCGACACAUUGGUGCGGCUGGCUUCCGGGUAGUACGGCUGGUUGGGUUGUGCUUCGGAGGACGCAUGGCUUUCGACCUUCGUCUCUCCCGAGCCCGUACGGGAGUUGUAGCGAUGAGACAAGGUAGUAAUUACUAGCGAUUGGAUACCAUGAAAAUUGGGGAGAAAAUGGGAUAAAAAAAAAAUAAUAAAAACUAUCACCCACUCCAGUGGUCUGGGGAUUGAAGCCUUCUCUGGGGAUGAGGAGAGAUGUUUAAUGGUGGCCAACACGAUGGUCGAGAAACGUCUGGCUGACAUCGAGCCCCAGCUGUGACACUUUGAUCUGAACCCAUCCAGUAAGAGACAGAAGGAGAGCAAGGUGAUUGAAUCGAACACCAGCUCCAAAGACCAUUGAGUCUGUUGUGCGCGUGAAUACUCCUGUGUCAACUAACCUGUUGACAACACCACCUGAGACUCCUGGGUCAACUCCGCUGAGCACGGCCUCUAUACACUGAGAAAUGAAUGAGGUAACAGCUGACCUCCAGUCAGAUCAAAUGACUGCUGCUCCAGUCACCUGCCAGUGGAAUGCUCCUGCUCUCGCCAUCCAUCAGCCACUCUUCUCCCACAGCAGGCAUGGCUGAGGCCGGGGCAGCACAAUACAACACAGAGCCUCACUGACUGGUGGUGUGACUUCUACUAACAGAGUCACUGACAUGGUCUCCCCUGCUAGCUACCUGAUUAUUCCAGACCACUUCCUCAGACUUCAAAUCUUCCCUGUGUCCUCUUGUGCUCCCAGGCUUUUAGCAGAUUACAGACUCCAUGAAAUGAGGACCUCUUCCUAAAUAUUUGGUCAAAUUAUUAAUUUACUCCACUCUCCGCUAAAUGGGUUGUCCCUCCCCUGGAGCCUCUGUCACUGAAAUAUGGAUGUCGUUUGAAGCACUGUAGCUGGCCCCAACACCGCCGACGCAGAGGUCAUGCACGUAGUGAGCUUUUCAUUCGGCACUACUUUGCAGUUGCCAGGCAGGGUUUUUCAAGCCCGGCCCUGGGGACUAGAUGAUGACUAAUGGGGCCAUGUUAAAGUGACCAGAAGAGGCAGCUGGCGAGGAUGAGAAGUAGUCAGGCCCUACACAUUAUCAACCAAUCUCUGCUGAGCCAGACUAGGCGGGGGUGACUGGAAGGGACAAACCCACAGGAAAUACAUCAUCAUUGACUGACCCUGGUCACGUCCACGACAGCGGCUCGCGCCUUAUAUGGACAUGUUGGAGACGUGAUAUUGAUUGGUGAAUAAUCGGUGGUGUAAAAUAGAUUCUUACAAUGUAUUUUGAUUGUUAUGUUCACUGAAUUUCCAUGCAGACUUCAAUGUAGCAAAAAUGUAGUAAAAAUGAAAACCUAUGACGUCAAAAUGGACUCCAAGUCUCUAUUUCCAUAAGUAUUACUGUUGAUUUCAAUAUGCUAUUGGGGAUUGGGAGCCUCCAGAUUGAACAGAGAAGCAGGGGUUUUCAUUUGCCACAAUUGAUGUUGCUAGGUAGAGCAAACCUGCCCCCACGUUUUAUCUACAAUGUUUAAUAUACAGCCAGCCACUUUUCCAGCUGUGGCUCUGUCCCCCUGAGUGCUGAUUUUGUUUUCCCCUCCUGCUUGCCUUAUUGAACCCCCUGUUGUCAUCGCUGACAGGCAGAUCUAAGUCAUUAGUAAUUGUUUUGUGGUUCCCUCUGCCGAUUAUUAUGCUUCCCUGACAAUAAUUUCUGUGAGUGAUUUCAACACUUGCUCCCACUAGGUAAGCCAUCAAGGCUAAUUGCAACUUGGGGAGCCUGGUUGCUCUCCCUCUCUUAGGACUUACUGGUGGUUUCCUAUGGGUUUGGUGUUGUGGCUUUGUGGGAUGUUUCAUUAAGGGCAUUACCAUGGUAUCUCCCUUUUGUAAUGAUUGUUCUGAUGGACAUAUUUCUAAACUAUAUAUACAAAAGUAUGUGGACACCCCUUGACAUUAGUGGAUUUGGCUAUUUCAGCCACAUCCGUUGCUGACAGGUGUAUAAAAUCGAGCACACAGCCAUGCAAUAUCCAUAGACAAACAUUGGCAGUAGAAUAGCCAUACCAAAGAGCUGUGCUUGUGAUUCUGACAAUGAACAAAGCGAGGUCCGUCCAGAAAUGGUUUGUCGAGGUUGGUGUGGAAGAACUCAACUGGCCUGCACAGAGCCCUGACCUCAACUCCAUCGAACACUAAUGCUCUUAUGGCUGAAUGGAAGCAAGUCCCCGCAGCAAUGUUCCAACAUCUAGUGGAAAGCCUUUCCAGAAGAGUGGAGGCUGUUAUAGCAGCAAAGAGGGGACCAAACUCUAUAUUAAUGCCCAUGAUUUUGGAAUGAGAUGUCCGACGAGUAGGUGUCCACAUACUUUUGAUCAUGUAGUUUAUCUUUAUAUAUUUACAUACAACU